rnacentral:misc_RNA from 1 species
AACGGUCUAUACCUGCGGUACCUGCGGAAGGAUCAUUACCGAGUUUUCAACUCCCAAACCCCAUGUGAACUUAUACCAUUUACAACCGUUGCUUCGGCGGGUUCUCGCCCCGGGCUUUACACCCCGGAACCAGGCGGCCCGCCGGGGGACCCAAACUCUAGAUUUAUAUUUUAGCAUGUCUGAGUGGAAUCAUUACAAAAUGAAUCAAAACUUUCAACAAUGGAUCUCUAGAUCGGAAGA